rnacentral:rRNA from 1 species
GACGAACGCUGGCGGCGUGCUUAACACAUGCAAGUCGAACGAAGUGGCGCACGGGUGAGUAACGCGUAAUCAACCUGCCCUUCAGAGGGGGACCACAGUUGGAAACGACUGCUAAUACCGCAUACUGAAGGCGGGGAUUUCGUCUGAUUAGCUAGGUGGAGGGGUAACGGCCCACCAAGGCGAUGAUCAGUAGCCGGGCUGAGAGGAUGAACGGCCACAGUGGGACUGAGACACGGCCCAGACUCCUACGGGAGGCAGCAGUGGGGAAUUUUCCGAAAUGGAGGAAAGUCUGACGGAGCAACGCCGCGUGAGGGAUGACGGCCUUCGGGUUGUAAAGCUCUGUUAAUCGGGACGCGGUACCGGAAGAGAAAGCCACGGCUAACUACGUGCCAGCCGCCGCGGUAAUAC